CUUGGUCAUUUAGAGGAAGUAAAAGUCGUAACAAGGUUUCCGUAGGUGAACCUGCGGAAGGAUCAUUACCGAGUUCAUGCCCUCACGGGUAGAUCUCCCACCCUUUGUAUACCAUACCUUUGUUGCUUUGGCGGGCCGCCUAGCUACUGGCUUCGGCUGGUAAGUGCCCGCCAGAGGACCCAAAACCCUGAAUAUUAGUGUCGUCUGAGUAAAAUUUUAAUAUUUAAAACUUUCAACAACGGAUCUCUUGGCUCUGGCAUCGAUGAAGAACGCAGCGAAAUGCGAUAAGUAAUGUGAAUUGCAGAAUUCAGUGAAUCAUCGAAUCUUUGAACGCACAUUGCGCCCCUUGGUAUUCCGAGGGGCAUGCCUAUUCGAGCGUCAUUAUCACCCCUCAAGCUUCGGCUUGGUGUUGAGGCCUGCUGUAAAGGCACCCUCUAAAAUCAGUGGCAGUGCUGUCAGGCUCUAAGCGUAGUAAUUUCAUCGCUAUAGGGUCCCGGUGGAUACUCGUCAAAACCCCCCCAUUUUUUAAUGAUUGACCUCGGAUUAGGUAGGGAUACCCGCUGAACUUAAGCAUAUCAAUAAGCGGAGGAAAAGAAACUAACAAGGAUUCCCCUAGUAACGGCGAGUGAAGCGGGAUGAGCUCAAAUUUAAAAUCUGGCGGUCUCAGAUCGUCCGAGUUGUAGUCUAGAGAAGCGUUUUCCGUGCUGGCCUGUGUACAAGUCCGUUGGAACACGGCGUCAUAGAGGGUGAGAAUCCCGUCCUUGACACAGAUCUCCAGUGCUUUGUGAUGCGCUCUCAAAGAGUCGAGUUGUUUGGGAAU
rnacentral:sRNA from 1 species